rnacentral:rRNA from 1 species
GGUUCUGAAUGGAAGGGCCAUCGCUCAACGGAUAAAAGGUACUCCGGGGAUAACAGGCUGAUACCGCCCAAGAGUUCAUAUCGACGGCGGUGUUUGGCACCUCGAUGUCGGCUCAUCACAUCCUGGGGCUGAAGUAGGUCCCAAGGGUAUGGCUGUUCGCCAUUUAAAGUGGUACGCGAGCUGGGUUUAGAACGUCGUGAGACAGUUCGGUCCCUAUCUGCCGUGGGCGUUGGAAGAUUGAGAGGGGCUGCUCCUAGUACGAGAGGACCGGAGUGGACGCAUCACUGGUGUUCGGGUUGUCAUGCCAAUGGCAUUGCCCGGUAGCUAAAUGCGGAAAAGAUAAGCGCUGAAAGCAUCUAAGCGCGAAACUUGCCUCGAGAUGAGUCUUCCCUGGGGCUUUAAGCCCCCUGAAGGAACGUUAAAGACUAUGACGUUGAUAGGCUGGGUGUGUAAGUGCAGCGAUGCAUUGAGCUAACCAGUACUAAUGAUCCGUGAGGCUUAACCUUACAACACCGAAGGUGUUU